UUAGUUUUACCCUACUGAUGAUGUGUGUUGCCAUGGUAAUCCUGCUCAGUACGAGAGGAACCGCAGGUUCAGACAUUUGGUGUAUGUGCUUGGCUGAGGAGCCAAUGGGGCGAAAGCUACCAUCUGUGGGAUUAUGACUGAACGCCUCUAAGUCAGAAUCCCGCCCAGGCGGAACCGAUACGGCAGCGCCGAAGGAGCCUCGGUUGGCCUCGGAUAGCCGGUCCCCCGCCGUCCCCGCCGGCGGCCCGCGUCGUGCGUCCGCCUCGGCGGCGUGCGGCGCGCCCCCCGCCGCGCGUCGGGACCGGGGUCCGGUGCGGAGAGCCCUUCGUCCCGGGAAAUGGGGCGCGGCCGGAAAGGGGGCCGCCCUCUCGCCCGUCACGCACCGCACGUUCGUGGGGAACCUGGCGCUAAACCAUUCGUAGACGACCUGCUUCUGGGUCGGGGUUUCGUACGUAGCAGAGCAGCUCCCUCGCUGCGAUCUAUUGAAAGUCAGCCCUCGACACAAGGGUUUGUCGAGCCGGGCCGGUCCGGUCCGGCGCCGCUUCCUCUCCCUCCACCUCGGCCCUCCCGGCGGCCCCCGAGGCAGGCACCUGCUUCGGGGUGGGAGCGGCGGCGUGGGGGGCGCGCCUUGCGAGGCCCGUGGGGCCCUGCUUUGGCGCGUGCACGCGUCCCCGGCGGUCGACCAGCUGCCCCGGCGGACUUGGGCUCGGGCGGGGACGAGCUCAGGGACGUCCUGGGGGGGGGGAUAUAUGUGUAUAUGUAUGUGUGUGUGUGUGUGUGUGUGUGUGUGUCCACGAAGGUCGACCAGCUGCCCCGGCGGACUUGGGCGCCGCACAGUGCAAGCGCUGGUGCGUUUUUUUUCCAAGGAAAACAUGAGGCGGGUUUUUUUUUUUUCUUCUUAAUUUAUGGAGGGAGGGAGGGAGGGGGAGGGGGGAGGGGGGAGGGGGAGGACGAACAGAAGAGCAGAGUCUCUCCCAUGCACUGGUUCUCUCCUGCUCCCCGAAUGACCUCACCAGUCGCCCCUGGGCCGCACCUUCUGUCCUCGCGCGUCAGAACGAUGCUCCGGGCAAGCUCCAAGGACACCGCAGGCGGGAGGGACCGCGGCACCACAUGCCACCACACCACACCGGAGGAAGCUGCCUUUUUGAGUGAGUCCUUUGGCCGCGUGCGGUGUUGGAGGAAGGCGUGUCUUCCCUGCUUCAACCCCCACCCCGCCUCCUUCCUUCCUUCCUUCCUCCUUCUCUCCCUCUCUCCCUCCCUCCCUCCCUCCCUCACUGCUCCACCCCCACCUCCCUGCGUCCCCCCCCCCACCUUGCUUCUCCUGGAUACCCCUUCCACAGCACCUACCCUUAUCACACAGUCAGUCAAUAAAGCUUUCCUCUGA
rnacentral:lncRNA from 1 species